rnacentral:rRNA from 1 species
AGGAGGUGCAUGGCCGUCGUCAGUUCGUACUGUGAAGCAUCCUGUUAAGUCAGGCAACGAGCGAGACCCACGCCAACAGUUGCCAGCUCGUCCUCCGGGGAUGGUGGGGACACUGUUGGGACCGCCUCUGCUAAAGAGGAGGAAGGAAUGGGGCAACGGUAGGUCAGCAUGCCCCGAAUUAUCUGGGCUACACGCGGGCUACAAUGGGUGGGACAAUGGGUAUCGACACCGAAAGGUGAAGGCAAUCUCCUAAGCCCAUCCGUAGUUCGGAUUGUGGGCUGCAACUCGCCCACAUGAAGCUGGAAUCUGUAGUAAUCGUGUCUCAAAAUGGCACGGUGAAUAUGUCCCUGCUCCUU